UGAAAGACGCGCAUUUGUUAUCAUCAUCCCUGUCAUCAGAGAUGUAUAUUUGGCCACAGUGAUGUGGCCUUUUUC
rnacentral:sRNA from 1 species